UUGAAGAUGGUAACCUUGGGUUUGGCUCUUGUCUAUGUUCCUUGGAACAGGACGUCAUAGAGGGUGAGAAUCCCGUCUGAUGAGAUGCCCAUUCCUAUGUAAGGUGCUAUCGAAGAGUCGAGUUGUUUGGGAAUGCAGCUCUAAGUGGGUGGUAAAUUCCAUCUAAAGCUAAAUAUUGGCGAGAGACCGAUAGCGAACAAGUACAGUGAUGGAAAGAUGAAAAGAACUUUGAAAAGAGAGUGAAAAAGUACGUGAAAUUGUUGAAAGGGAAGGGCAUUAGAUCAGACUUGGUGUUUUACGAUUAUCUUCUCUUCUUGAGUUGUGCACUCGUAUUUCACUGGGCCAGCAUCGAUUCGGAUGGCAAGAUAAUGGCAGUUGAAUGUGGCUUCACUUCGGUGGAGUGUUAUAGCUUCUGCUGAUAUUGCCUGUCUGGAUCGAGGGCUGCGUCUUUUGACUAGGAUGCUGGCGUAAUGAUCUAAUGCCGCCCGUC
rnacentral:rRNA from 1 species